UAGGGAAUCUUCCACAAUGGACGCAAGUCUGAUGGAGCAACACCGCGUGAGUGAAGAAGGUUUUCGGAUCGUAAAGCUCUGUUGUAAGAGAAGAACGUGUGUGAGAGUGGAAAGUUCACACAGUGACGGUAACUUACCAGAAAGGGACGGCUAACUACGUGCCAG
rnacentral:rRNA from 1 species